AGAGUUUUCACUUGUCUGAAUGUUAGGAAAAUAAGGCCUUUUUGUUCAUAAUAUAGAGUUUUCACAUCUAUAAAAUAGAAUCUUUACUUAGAGUUUUCACUUGUCUGAACAUGUUCUCAUUUUGCCAAGCAUUCCAGAAUAUCUCUCAAGGACAACUUCGUUAUACACUGCUUUAACUAAUUUAGGGAGUAGAGGUUGGUUGUUAGGCAUCAAAGCACCUAAGCGAAUAUCUUCAAGGACAGUUCCGUAAUCCUGUGGAAUGCGAGUAAACGUGCCUAGAGAUAACAUUUCUUGUUUUGAGAGAAUUCCCAGAUCACAGAAACAAGCCUGAGGAAGACUACUGGCCUUCAUCCCACGACCACCAAAAGGCAGAAAACGACCACCUAGCAACAGGGUGCACCUGCGCAGAAAAGACACCAGAACGUCACACUUCCGGAGGAGAAGACCCAAUAAGUUGGGGGGGAAUGGGGCACGAAAGGGCGGUAGUUGGAAUAACUGCCGCCCAGCGCGCUGAUUUGCUUUCGUUUCCUACCAUUAAUAAAUCUUUUUAAUUGGAUUAGAAAGCCUAUUGUGCUCGUUCAUAACAAUUUGGUGCCGUGACUCGGAUCGCGGAUCUGGGGAACCUCUCUCUGAGAGGGGCGCCACGAUUCCGCUCCUUUGAGCGGACUCAGACCGGGGUUUCUACCCUCAUCCCGACCGACGAACCUAAAAGCCUAGAAAGCGAAAGCAAAAAAAAAAAAAAGGAAAGGGAAGCGGGCCCAGGGUACCCCUUAAAUUUUGUGCACAAAGUCCGGACGAAGACGCAGGACGCGUACAACCCGGCGACUGGGUCCUCAUCCGAAGCUGGAAAGAAGAUUCAAUCACCCCAAAGUGGGACGGACCAUAUCUGGUUUUAAUCACCACUGACUCCGCAGUCCGCACAGCAGAGAAGGGAUGGACUCAUGCUAGCAGAAUAAAGGGGCCGGUGGAUCCAACUCGAUUCCAUACAGCUUCCAGGGAAACGAGCUGGAAAAUUGACGGGAAGCCGGGGGAUUUAAAGUUAACAGUAAAAAGGACUUACAAAUAAUUUUCAUGAACACUAUCAACUCUAAGGACAUUUGGGUUGGGGAUAACUGGGGACUGCAAGUACAACUGGUGGGAGAAACAAAACCCCCAGGAUACUGUAAACGUCUAGAGGAUUCAGCCCAGCAGCCCUUUUAUCGGUUCAUCCGACUUGAAAAAGAGCAGAAACCUUGGGAGGGGGAGGGCCAUGCUGAACAUCAAAGUAUUAGAGUAAAGUGUAGCUGGUUAGAUUGUCA